UCUACCUGUAGCAACGACGUUCGGAAGGAUGAAGAGACAGGGACACUCAUCACCUCCUGUCCUGUCCCCUAAAUGUAUUCCCCCCGCACCCUGGAGUCCCAUCUACCUUCGAAACCAGCAUUAGAGUUGAUCUCCCAAAUUUGGAGCUGGCCUCGUGGCUAAGUUCCUGCCAUACCUGCACCUUGUGCUCUUCUAAGCACUUCCUGUUGUGCCCAAGCAGAAACCCCCAGACUCCGAACUGCUCUUGGCAAGCCCCACACGCUGUUGCUGUGGGUCUCAGUGAAGUCACACUUGGGGAGUCAAAUUCGAUUUCCUGCUGACCCUGACUGCUGAUGGCAGCAGUGUGUCACAGUCUGACACUGAAAUCCUGCAACACCCAAAUGCCAGACCCCAUGUGAGACCGUGACCGUGGAUUCCAAAGCUCCCACGGACGCCCAGAGCUCCUUUCCUUCCUCCUCCUGCCACACAUGCUCCUGUUGUGUGUUUUCAUCACACACCAGCUGCCUUCACUGCCGUCUCCUCUCUCCACUGGGGGGUGGGGGACGUUUCCACGGCAACACUCGUGCCUGCUCUGUGUGCUAGUGUGGAGAGGCCUGGCUGAAAUCCGCCUUGGAGAUCUGCAUAGAGAUUGUAAGCUUGCCUUUUAUUUCUCUUAUUUACACACUUUCUCAGUGAAGGACGUUGAGGGGAAUGGAAAGGCGCACCGAGCUCUCUGGGAGGCAGGGGAAGGACCACAGAUUAAACUGCCCCCUUCAGGUUGAGGCCAAGCUAGCCAGCAUCACUGCUCUUGCACAUAAAGGCCAGUCCAUUAGUGUGGUUUCACGAAGGCGACUCCACAUCCCAUGUGGUCUGAAGGAAAUGUGCUAAUGGGAGCAGCCUGAUUUUUCCGUAGGUGAUUUCACUUGCUGUUAAACAGGAAAACAGGCCCAUUACAGUGGCUCUCAGCUCUGGCCAGACUCUACUGGAAUCACCCAGGAACCUUAAAAAGAUUGUGAUGCUGGGCCCUGGCCUUUACCUUCACCCCCAUCCCUGAGGUUUUAUGAUUGAAAUAAGCUGGGGAAUUUACUGAGCAGGAGGAUUGUAAAAAGCUUCCUACGUGUCUUUAACGUGCAGCCUACCGCAUCAGCCCUCAAGUGGGAUGCUCUCUGUGUUAGGGGAGAACUGCACAGGUUCAGGUAGAGCCCUGGGCACGGGCAUUUUAAGGAACAGGAAUACGAAAAAAUAAAGGUUAGGCCCUGAAUGUGUUUACAAUUUGGUAACUCUGUAGAAUCUGGUUCAAGGCCAGAUGUUCUGAAGGUGCCACAGGAAUACUUAAUGAUUAUAAAUGACAGGAUUAGCCUUCCAUAUCCCGAGUUCAUGAGUCUUAAAAACUCUGGAAGCUACUGGGAUUAAAUGUCAAGUGGUUUCCUUUGACAACUUGCCCGGAUCCCACUGAAAGUACAAGCAAUUGAGACUAUGCGGGGGCAAAGGUGAGCAUGACAAGGUCUGAUGACUUAAGGUAUUUCCCAAUAUUGGGAAGGGCUUCGAUUUUCUAGAAGAGCAAAAGCAAGGGAACAGAGAAGGCUGAGAAUGCCCCCAGCCUGCGGAGGCAUCUGGACAAGAAGAGUUCCGUUUGUUCAGUGGACAUCAGUGCCCUUUCCAGCAAAGCAAUCACAGAGAGCCCAGGCUGCCACGAAGCCAAGGUGAACAGGGAGGAAUUCAGCUACCCUUAACUUCAUUAGGGAGAGAUGUUGAGUGGAAAAAAAACCUCCCCAGAAGGCAAUGCCCUGACCCGGGCUUCGUUGGCUCUCCUAUGCCACCUGGACUAAAGACAUCACUCCUGAACUCCAAGAGCGCACUGUGAAGGAUGGACAGAGAGAGCAAGGAGACACAGACUCUGAAGCAGGCUCCAGGCUCUGAGCUGUCAGCACAGAACCCGAAGUGGGGGGUCGAACUCAUGAACUGUGAGAUCAUGACAUGAACUGUGAGCGAAGUCGGACGCUCAACUGACCCAGCCACCCAGGCGCCCCUUCAAAAGGUGCCCCUUUUGGUCGUAAGAACUCUCAAUUCAAACUGCUUGAAGAAUCCUGAGUGCUGGGCAGGAAUGUCAUUCACAGGAAUUACUGUGGCUUCUGGGAUCCAUCACCUCUGGAUGUUAGGGAACCAGUGCUGGAGCUCCGCAGAACAUUUCUGACAGUUUGAAAAAUAUUCUUUAAAAUGUUAGGAAUUUUCUGCUUAACUCAGGUCAGCUUCGAAGGCCCAGACUGUGGUCCCCUGAGGUGCAGCCCUCCCUGUCCACUCUCAUCUCUCUGAUGGCGCUCUUGCCAAAAGUGCCAUGUCCCAUCAAGACUGCCCUGCAGAGCGACAUUCUGGAAACCCUUUCUCUGCAGGCAUGGUCUUUUUCCAGUAGUGAUAUUAAAAAGCAAAGGGGGCUAAAUGCAAUGUGGUAUCCUGACAGAGAAAAACGACGUUAGUGAAAUGUGUUCCGUGAAAUCUGAAUUAAGUCUGUGGUUAACUGUGU